GCAACAGCAGCGGCCACGUCCUCCUUCAUGGGGACGCGCCUCCUGGAAGCGCAUUCUGGGUCGGGGCGGGUCCAGGCCCGAUUCGGGUUCGGGCCGAAGAAGAAGGCCGCGCCCAAGAAGGUGUCGAAGGGCUCGGGCACCGAGAGGCCGUUGUGGUACCCCGGCGCGAAGUCACCAGAAUGGCUUGACGGGAGCCUUAUCGGGGACUACGGGUUCGACCCGUUUGGGCUCGGAAAGCCCGCGGAGUAUUUGCAGUUUGAGCUGGACUCGCUGGACCAGAACCUGGCUAAGAAUGAGGCCGGGCUCAUCAUCGGCACCAGAACCGAGGUUGCAGACGUGAAGUCCACUCCCUUCCAGCCCUACAGCGAGGUCUUCGGCCUCCAGAGGUUCCGCGAGUGCGAGCUCAUCCACGGACGCUGGGCCAUGCUCGCCACCCUCGGAGCCCUCACCGUCGAGUGGCUCACCGGUGUCACAUGGCAGGACGCCGGCAAGGUACGCUUCUCUGCCCUUGCUUCUUCUCCAGAUAUCAAUCAAACAUUUCCUUCCAUUGCAGUUUUAGAUGAUCUUUGCUUGAAAAUUCUUCACAUCCUUCGGUAUGAAAAUAAAAAAGAGAAAUUAAAAGUGAUCUUGCUAAAAUUAAUUUAUAUUAAAUCAUAAGACCUAAUUGUAUCUAGAUCUAAAACCUUUGUUGACAGAAGUUUUCCUAUAAUUAACAGGGAUAAUUUUGUUUAGUUCUUUAGAAAAAAUAUUACAAGAAGUAGCAUGAGAGAAUGAUAUUGAAGAAUUUAGAAUGUGUUUUGCAUGGUUUAAGGUGGAGCUAGUAGAAGGAUCAUCGUACCUUGGACAACCACUUCCAUUCUCAAUCACCACAUUGAUCUGGAUCGAGGUUCUGGUAAUUGGGUUCAUUGAGUUCCAGAGGAACGCAGAGCUUGACCCAGAAAAGAGGUUGUACCCUGGUGGCAGCUACUUCGACCCUCUUGGUUUGGCCUCAGACCCAGAGAAGAAAGCCACUCUUCAAUUGGCAGAGAUCAAGCACGCACGUCUUGCCAUGGUGGGCUUCUUGGGCUUUGCAGUCCAAGCUGCUGCCACUGGCAAGGGCCCACUCAACAACUGGGCUACCCACUUGAGUGACCCACUCCACACAACCAUCAUUGACACCUUCUCAUCCUCUUAAGAAAAAACAACUCUUGUACCUGCUCUCUAUAUUAUAAACGUCUUUCGGCUUUGCGUUGUAAUUAAUCAAACAUUUCACUUAGCUGAAUUAGUACUUGUCAAACUGGUAACUUUUAUUGGAGAGGCUUAGCAGAGUUCUUCUGCUUCAUCGUAAACUGUUCUUCUCCUGUGAAUCUUAAUUAAGCCAAAAAUACAGAUAAAAUUCAGAUCACCAUCAAAGGUAAGGGCAGGGGAUUAGUUUGAGGCUAUAUUGCAGAUUAUGUUUUAUCCAUUUUAAUGAUUUUCAUUCUGGAUAACCCCUGGCUUACUGAAGUUUGUGACAAUGGAGUUUAAUACUUAAUUCACGCAAUUCAUUGCAUCUAAUAAUACUGCAUUUUGAUUGGCAUAAUCAACCGCUUAUUAUAUGAAAUACCAUGGUUUCAUCUGUUUGGGAUUAAAGGUGGAUUAAACAAAAUGAUACAAUUGAUUAAUGAUAUUUCAUUCAUUUGGUUUUGUUCUAGAAAUGAAGGAUUAGUAAGCCCAUUCCUUUUUUUGUUCAUUUCUGUUUCUUUAUUAUCACCCACAUGUUCAUGUUUUUAGUUUCUAUUCAUUGCAUUCAUUACUAAGUAUAUAUGUUUAAUAUCAAGAUUCAAAUUAAAAAUAGUUUUAAAUGACUUGGUGGUAAUAGUGAGAUUCACCUAUUAAAUAGUUUUAAUAGUCUUAUCUUUAGGGUUGACCAACGACCUACCAAAAAUAUUAAGAACGAAUCUAAGUCAAUUGGGUAAAUGACAUAACAUUACACAUCCCCAAGUUUCAAGCUUUGAGUCCACAGGUUAAAAGAAAGGGUAAACCAACACCAUAAAUCAAGCCUAUGGAGAUUAGAUUUGGAUUGUGAUGCUACAUAGUCUCUCAGCCUUGUCCUUUUAGCCUCUAGAGCCUAGAGGCUAAAGAGUCUUGAUGUCGCCCCUUUCUUUACGAUACAUGUCCAACGUAUAAACUUGGCGAUGACCCAUGCCAAACAGAGAAUUUGCGACAAUGCCUACCAAGUGCAUAGAGUUGAUGACAAUUCCUACCUAGUGCAUAAACUUGGCGACAAUCCCUACCAAGCAAGAGGAAUUAGUGAUGAUUCCUACCAAGUGAAAGAACUUUGCAAUGAUUCCUACCAAAUACGAGGCUUGACAACAUUCCUGCUACCGACUUGGCGACAAUUCCUACUUAGUGUGAGUGACAAAAAUACCCUUUCUUCAUUUAAUGAAUCACAUGUUUUAUGUUAGGGUAGGUUGUCAAUGUAUCAUUACUGUUAUUUUUACUACUUGAGUGUCAAAAAAAACUUUAUUUAUUUCAGAAUUGCUCUAUCUCUUCAUGUGAAGUCCACAUUUUAGCAAAAAUUUAUUUUUUCAAAUCUUAUGCAAGAUUGUCAACAUAUUGAUGUGAGUUGAUUUUAGAUUUAGCCAUUUUUAGAUGUGAUAUUUUACUUAAGAUUGAGAUUUUAGCAAUUAAUGGUGAGGACCUAAGGAAGAUUCUCAUUGUACACGAACUUAACCAAAUAAGUAAGUGUGAAUGUUCACUUCACAAACACAAAGAUGGAAAAAAAGAUAUAGUGAAUAUGGAAUGCAAUUGCAGAAAUGAAAUGGGAACAUGGUAAGUGAUAAGUGUCUAAUUUCAGUAAUAUUUCAUAUUAAAAUAUAGGUACUUAUGAGGAUUUAUUGCUAAUUUACAUAUAAAAUAAUCCCUAAUUUAUGAAUUUAUAUAUUUUUACAUUUUUUAUGAUCUUUAUUUGAAUAAGAGUAUUUUAUUCUCAAAUUUGGUGUUAAUUGCAUAUUUCUAAGGAAAAUUGGAGAUUUGGAUUAAAGAUGAAUGAUUUGAGCUAAAAAGAUAAAGAUAGAAGGUCCCAGAAUGGAAAAAGAUGCAAAGAAAGAUUUGGCCUUUUUUAUGUUUUAUCAUUUAGCCCAUUAGCGCGACACAAUAAACAACCUAACCCUAGAAAACUAGGAUAAAUAGAGGGCUAGAGGCUCAACCUUAGUGUGCUAGAUUGAGAGGAAAACACCAUAGAGUGAAUUGUAACCCAAUUGGGAGAAUGGAAGGUGCUAGAAGUAUGCGUGGCUAAUUCUACCCUUUGGGAUUAGGAGUAAUCUGCUCAAACUCUUAUGUAUUGAGGUGAUAUCUUAUAUAUUAAUAUUCUGUUCUUGAUUGAUUAUUGGUAUUGUUGUUUUACUUUUAAUUUUCCGUGACAAAUUGAGAAUCUUAAAUCUGACCGGGAGGUAUUUUUAGGGUUCGGACCUAAACAACAAUACUUAAAAGUAUGAGCUUCGUUCUAAGUUGUUCUUAUAAUUAUGCGAGGGAUCGAUAGUUAGGGGACAUUCUUAAGGAUUUUAUAUGUGAGGAAUCGAUAUAAAUGAUUUUUAUACGGGCAUCAAUUUUAAUCAAAGAACUUAAUAUUGACAUGCUAAUCAAAAUACUUGAGAGUGAGAAAGAUGAAACUAAUCCUUAUUUUUCCAAUUGAAACAACUAAUUCUUUGUCUGUUUUCUUAUUGAUCAGUGUCAACACAAUUAAUUCAAAACUCUUUUAAUUGUUCUAUUUUUAUAUUUAGCGAUUAUUGUACUCGAUAAUUCACUGUUCCUUGUGGGAUCGAUAUCCAUCCUUAGGGACAAUUAUUACUUCUGACAAACGCGGUGCACUUGCCGUAAAAAGUCAUCAGUAAGCAUCAAUGGUGGUCAUUGCCAAACCAAAUGAUGAUCCAUACUGUAUAAAUGAGCCAAAACCCAAAAACACAAUUUAAGAACAAAUAUGAAAAUCAAGAACAUAAAUGGAAUGGAAAAAUGGAAAGGAAAAUGGAAGAAGAAACAUAAGGAAGGGAUGGUGAGGAUGAUCACGCCACUUGGGGUGUGGAGGCCACCAAGAUAAGUGGAAAGGCCGCCACUUGAGUUCCUCACACUCUUCAAGAUAAGACCAUGUAAAGAGGAAACAAGCCUCACUAUAAGUUCUCACAAAUUGUGCAGAGUUUCUUUACUUUUCAAAUUUCAACAUGAAAAUACAAUAAGGGCGACCUCCUAUUUAUAAGUGAAUGAGCCUUGGAAAACAAACAAGAAGGGUAUGAUGGGAAAAGAAGAAAUAUGGUGCGGCUAGGGUAUUGACCUUGAUCAAUGCUGCACCAUCAUCCUACAUUCUAGAAGGUAGGUCAAAACAAGCCCAAAGUGAUAGCUCACCCCUUCCUUUUAUGCUAAAUGACACCUAUAUUCUACUGAAAUUAAAAAUAAUGAAACCCACUAAUGCUCAACACCCAAAGCCUGUGCUCUGCUACUCGUGAUCCUCUUGGGCAAACUAGGUACUGAGGUCGUGAUUGGAGAAUCUGGUCCUGACCUUAUGUCUUGAGGCAUGCUCCUAGUCUUCCUUCUCAGAGGUUGGGUCUAGUCAGGAGACGCACUCUUUCCUAGGUCCUCAUCACCUAUAAUCACUUAUUUCUUCAAACAAUUUAAUGACAAUAAUAUAUAAAAUAUAAAAUAGAAAAAAUAUGAUUAAUUUACACGGUGUUGUUUUAAUUCUGAAUCCAUGAUUUUAUAUUUUCUAUUUUCUUCAUCUUAGCAGUUGAAUGAAGAUUAAAAUAAGUUUUAAUUGGAGCAGUUGAAUAGUGCACUUUAAAACCAUUUUCUUGCUAGUUGCUGCUUACAAUAUUGUAUAUAGACUUUAUCUUUUCCUCUGCCAAACGCAGUCUCCUUCAUCAAUUGCAACACUUCUUCAUCAACAUGACACGGUCAACGAUUUCACCCUCUCCGAUCUCCAUCUCCUUGACGCUCUUGUUCAUCACUUCUGCGUGCGCCACAUCGUUGAACGAAAUCGAGAACUGCGAACCCAAACUUUCCGACGGAUUCACGGUUCCAAGCCAAGUAGAGAAACAAGAACAAGACGCGAUCAAAGAGUAUUUGGAUAGCGUAUUCGAAAACGCGCUUUUCGGCAGUGAUUCUACAGAAACAGUGCAGAAUAAGGAAACAUAUCCAGAUACCUAUGUCAUCGAAGCAGAGAGCAAUACACAGAUUAAGGACGAGGGUACGUGAAUGCGUAAUUCUCGAUUUUUUUUGUUUGCUUGCAAAUUCCAUAUGGUGUUCUUAUUUGUCUAAGUUUUAUUUCUAUUUUUUUUUUUGGUUUAAUGUUUUUAUGUCUCUAUGCAUUAGAGAUUAAAUACUUGCUUAGAGAGUAAAGCAAAUUCAAUAUAACUUUUAUUUAAAAUAAUUAUUAUAACAAUAAAAAAUAUUUAAUUGAAUGGAAGUAUAAUUUUAUUAAAGCAUAAUUAUUUUUUUUAAUUCUUAUAAUUUAUUUUCUCAAAUAGUUUAACCUUUUAAGAAAAUUAAGAACAAUAAUAAAAAGGUCACUUAUUAAAUGAUUUUAUUAAAAUAAUCCCAUUCUUUCAAUAAAUGUAUUAUUAUUAUUAAAAUAAUAUGGAUGCAGAUAAAUCAGCUUAUAAACAGCCCAAAGAGUCUGUGGAAGAACAGAAGCUGGUAGUUCCUAGACAUAUACAAGACGAGGGACCAGAAUCGAUCAAAAAAUAUUUGGAUGACUUAUUCAGCAUCGCACUCUUUGGCAAAGAUUCAACUGAAACAGGACAAAAUCAGGAAGCACAUCAAGAUACCAAUUCCAAUCAACUUCACAGCAAAACACACAUUGAGCAAGAGGGUAAAUAUUUAAUGCUUAAAUCUUUUGUUAACUUGAUCAAGAUUCUGUUUGUCUAGGAAACCUUAUUCUUAAGGAUUUCUACAACAGAAAAAGAAAAUUAAAAGGUGAGAUGAGUGUUUUCACCGUUGAAAUUAAUUUAGAACUAAAUAAUUCUUAAUCAGAAUUUAUUUACCAUGUAGUGAAUCCUAGUCUAAAGAGAGAAUGACCCUAUACUAUAGUGAUACCAAAAAUAUGGCAUAUAAUAAUUCACUAGAAUACUCAUAUUGAGGGUAAAAACGUUAUGUUUUUAUUUAUGUUCUUCAUCACUUAAAUAGUUGAUGUUUUAUGAAUUUGUAGAGUCAUUGGGCCUAAACAAACUUAUUAUUUGAAGUAAUGAAAAGAAACUAACGUAGCCAUGUUUCACAAGUCCAUUAUAUCAUGUAGUCUUUCAUCCAUAAUGGGUGUUCUUAGGUGUUGGAUCGUGUUGUAUCAUUGUCAUCUUUUGCACUAGGAACUUUGUCCUCAAAGUGGGGAUAUUGUGUGGUUUGGGUCAUGCUGGUGGUGUGUGGGAGGAGUUGUGUGAUAUUCAGAUGUGAUUAGAGUGUUCUGAAGAGUUAGGAACUCGAGGGAAAAAGGGGACUGAGUCACAUGGGUAACAUGAGGUAACAUAUUUUGAUUUGCGGAAUUGGACGGUGUUGUGAGGGUGUUAGGUGGGAGGGUCUUUGUGUUAAAUGGUGGGCUUAGUGAGGCUUCUCAAGAUGUUGAGUUGGUUAAAAGAGUUUGAAGGUGGAAUUCCUUUGAAGGGUUUAAGGAGAGAAAUAUGGAAGACUAUAGGUUAGGGGUAAAUGGAGCUCAUAUGCUAUCGUGCCCUAUUUGGUGAACGAUCUGAUAAGGCCUUGAGUAUCAUGGAGAGAGUUUGGUAGAUGUUUGUUACUCAACUGAGUGUUGUCGGUAAGGUUCGAGAUGAACCCAUACCCAUUCGUUAACUUUGAAGGAGAGGUCGAUGUGGUGGUAAUUAGCUUGGUCUUGCAUGUGUUGGCAUGUUCUAUGGAGGUUCAAAUUCAGUUCAUGGCAGCCCGAAACAUUGAAGGGCAUUGGUCAAGCCAAAAGGCAUGACUAGAAAUUAGAAAUUCAUAGUGUCCAUGAAGUUCUGAAAGUUGUUUUGUGAUUUUCUUCUGAGGUGAGUCUAAUUUGGUGAUAGCUUGAGUAGAAGUCAAUCUUAGUGAAAACUGUAGUUGAACCUAGUUCAUCUAGCAAUUCAUCAAUGGUGGGUAUGGGAUAGCAGUCACCUAUUGUGACUGUGUUUCAUCAAUGGUGGGUAUGGGAUAGCAGUCACCUAUUGUGACUGUGUUUAAGGCUCUCUAGUCCACAUAAAAACGUCAUGUACCAUCUUUCUUUUUUAUUAAGAGGAUUAGGGAGGAAAAAAUGCUAGUGCUCGACUAAAUGAAACUGUCACGAAGCAUAUCUUGAAUUAGUUGGGAGAUGAUGCCUUUUUUAGAAUGGAAGUAAUGGUAGGGUUUGACAUUAAUAGGAGUGGUGAUGGAAAGGAGAGGAAUUUGGUGAUCAUGCGAUCACGGUGAUGGUAGGUCGUGAGGUAUUUAGAAUAUGAUUUGGUAUUGUAAAAGGAUUCAUUGGAUGGAGAAGGGGAUAUGGUAUAGUGGGAAGGAUGGUGUUUGUAUGCUGAGUUUAAGGGUAAGGAGGGUGUGUGAAUGGAUAACAAGUGGAAGGAUGCCAUGGCGUUAGUGGAUAAAAUCUGGAAAAAAACAGAUGAUAUGUAGCUUGUGUAAGGUUUGGGGAAGUUGUGGUUGUGAAUGUGAUUUGGUGGUUAAGGUGAGUAAAGGCAAUGCUAAGAAUUGAAAAAUCAUCUUUAAUGAUUCCCAAAGUGCACAACUAUUCAAUCCUCAUAACCACAUAUGUUCUUUCAAUUCGGAGAAUGUAUAGGGGAAUGGUGAGAAUAGAGUUUUGGAGAGAUAAAUCCACAGAAGGACAUAUUUCCUAACAUGUGAUGAAAGCACCAUUGCCUACCAUUACUAUAAAUGUUGGGUUGGGUUUAAUGGGUAGGUGUAGGUGGUGUGCAAUUCUUGGAUGCAAGAUAUUGUGUGAACUUCCAGAAUCAAUAAGAACUGUGAUUGGGAGGUUGUGGAAGACCCCAAUGCAUUUCAAUGUUUGGGGUGAUGGUUGCUUGUGAUGAUGUGGAGUAAUAGGUGGAAAUGGAUAAUGUCUUGAGGAGGUGUAGGGUAUUGUCGUCGUGAGGAUCUAGGAAAGAAUACAUGUCUUCUAGGAGCAAUAAAAAUCAGGAAGUCAGCCUAAAGUGAAGUUUAUAAAAAGAAAAACAAAAUUGGGAAGUAGAACAUUUGUGGUUAGGGAUGAAUUUUUCAUCACAUUUUUAACACAAUCCUAAGGACCGACGUUCCUGAAGUUGUAUGGGUGUAAGUCAUUUAAUGGGUAGAUUAGUGUUGGUUUUAGGGAUGGGAGAAGGGCGUAGGUGGUGGUGGUGGGGUUCUGAGUAGUGGGUUGGAAGGGACGAAGGGUUUUGGGUUUGGAAUCAUGAAUGUUUUCCUCUAUGAUUUCAGCAAGGUCAAUAGCCUGGAAAAUGGAGUAGGGUUUCAAUAUGGUUAGUUCUUUGUAAAUCUCAGGGUUAAGACUUGAUAUGAAGUAAUUUAGAAUAGUGUUAAGGGACAAACCCCGAACGCAGUUGUAGAGUUUUUCAAACUUAGCCUGAUAUAUGUAAGCUUUGGUAUGUUGAUGGAGUUUGAAGAGUUCAACUUGGUGGUUGGUAUAAGAGGAUGGGCCAGACAAAGUUCUAGGGAACAAAUAAAGGAAAGUCAAUCGGUGAUGAGGUUUUGUUAACUAAGAGCAUCUUCAUUCAUGUGGAAGGGAACCAUAGAUAAACCUUUGUUGAGGAUGAAUUUGGUAAAAAUAAAAGUAUUCUUCAGUUUGAAAUAAUCAGUCCAAAGGAUCUAUUCCUUCAAAAAGGGAAAGUUGCAGUUUGGGUGGUCUAAUGGCAGGUAGUGAGGGUGGUGGAGUGUGUGCCUGAUCAUGUGUAGAUAGGGGUGGUGAAGCAAUGAGAGGAGGAAGGGAUGAGACAUGGUCCAUUAAAUUGGUAAGAGAGGAUGGGAGGAUCUUGUUUCUGGCUUCUAUAUUGGUACGACGAGUUUCGUUAGCCUUUAUUUGGAUUUGGAUGGCCGAGAGACGAUCUUGGAUGACUUGAAAGAUGUCUUCUAGGUCUUUGGAUUAGGGUUUGGGAGGUAUGGAACUAGCAAUGAAAACACCAAUAUUAAGUUUUCACUACAAUGAUACCAAAAGUAUGACCUACAAUAAUUUACUAGAGUACUCAGAACUAGGAUAAAAACUUAUCUUUUUAUUCAUGUUCUUCAUCAUCUAAAUAGAUUAUGUUUUUUGGACUUGUUGAGUCAUUGGACUUAAACGCACCCAUUACAUGAAGUAAUAAAAAGAAACUAACAUAGCCAUGUUUCACAAGCCCAUUUCAUCACGUAAUCUUUCAUCCAUCAUAAGUGUUAUGAGUGUUCCUUUUGUAUAAUAGGCCUACUAAAGGUGUUGGAUAGUGUUGUAUCACCAUAUCAUAUUGUUUCUUUUAAUUUUUAUUAUCAAAACGAACUAAACCUUUUUAUUAUUUUUCUAAUAUAUAUAUAUAUAUAUUAAAAAUAUAAUUAAAUUAUAUAAAGAUUUUUUAAAUUAUAUUAGAUUAUAUUUAAUAAUUAAAACUUAAAUUGUAAGUUUUUAUCUUUUAAAUAUAAUAAAAAAAAUCUUUUAAACUAUUUUUUUAUUUUAAUUUUUAAUUUAAAAAUAGAUGGAGGGAUCAAUAUAUCUUAUCUCUCUAUCAUUGGGCAGAUAGAAUUGAUCAUAGUUAUUAGAGGACUGAAAAUAUGAAUCUAACUUUCACAUAAGCAAUAAAUUGACAAAACUGGUCUAUUUUUAUAACUCCUUUUGUUUUUUUAAAGGUUAAUCACUUUGUAUAUGCUUGUGUAGCUGAGAACAACAUGGAUGCUGAUAAAUCAUCUAAGAAAUUGUCUAAAUCGAAAAAGGAAGAACAAUUGGUAGAUGAUGAUUUUGCAGUUAAUGUUGACCUUGAGAUCGUGGGUGAUGGAGAGUAUGUGCUGAAGAUCAAAAGGGUGAAUCUAAGUUCAAACAAUGAGGUAGAAAGGGCUAAGCAUUUGGCUCAAAAUGGAGCAAUGUUGUUACAUUAUGGAGAGAUACUUCAAGAGAUGGGAGAGAAAUUGAUUACCCAAUCCCAAGCAUUACUUGACUCUGUGUUUAAAAUGUCUACAUCUCCUAAAUUCAACUCUAAUCAAUCAUACUAACUCUCUACUUUCAUUCUCUUAAGUUAUUUUGAAUGGUAACUUAUAAGAAAACUACCAAUUUAGUUUAUGAAUGUGAAAUUGUAAGAUGUUAUUACUUUAGUCUUUAGUUGUAUUUAACAAAAUGUAAAAAAAGUCCAUGCUUUCAUUUUAGUCUUUCACUGUAUAUUAGUUAAUAUUAUAAUUGAAGUACUCAAAAUUUUGAAGAGAAAUCAGAAAAUAAUUUUUUUUAACGAAUUGUUUAGUUCUAUGAUAAUGCGCUUAGUGUAUUAAUAGUUAUUUUUUGUUUUCCUUAUAAACUUAUAGUUUUGUAGUGUGUCUUGUUUGUGUUUGAGCGUGUUUUUUUUUGUCUUUUUUGUUUUGUGUUAUAAGUAUAUAAUCUUUUCUUGAUUUCCUUGUACAUUUUUCAUUCUUCAAUCAAUAAUAUACAAUUUUUCUAUUAUAGAUUGCUUUUAUUCACUUCUUUCACAUGAGUUCCAAAAUCUGAAUGGGUGAAUAUGUUUUCUACAAAAGUUUCUUGGAUUUGUUCAAGUUCUUCUAAGAUGGUAUCAGAUCUCUUCAUUUGAAGAGCUUUAGUGCACGUCUUUGAUUUUUCUUUCCUUUUUUGCAUUUAUUUUCAACAUGAGUGAGUAAUCUAUUCAUUUUUUUUCUUUACAAUGUCAUUUAUCUUCAUCCUAGUGAAAACCCUCUUAUUUCUCUUGUUUUUAACCCUAAUAACUAUUAUUCUUGGACUAGAUUGGUCAUCACUACUUUAAGUGCUAAAAACAAGUUUUAGUCCAUUCAUCGUAAGAUUUGUUGAAUUAAUAGAUAGCAAAUGGGGGGGGGGGAGGCUGAAUUAAACUCAAAAUAUUUUUAACUGAUAUAUUUUGAAAACACAAACAAUUUUUCAAAAAAUUAAAAUUUUUGUAAAGAAACAAAUUAAAAUUAAAAAAAAAAAACACUUUCAAGAAAUUUGAAUCUGUUAUAAAAGAAAAUAACUGAUUAAAAAAAAUUCAAAAACAUUUUCAACACACAAUUCAAAUAAAAAAACAACUAAAUCAUUAAGACAAUUGAUACGAAAAUAAAAGAUGACAUUGAGAAUUAAGAAAAUCAAUCAAUUAACUCAAAAAACAAUUGAUUUCAAUUUCAAUUUUGUUUUUUAUAACAAAACAUAAAUUUUGAUUAUUAAAAGAUGUCUAGAAAAAUAACGAUUUAUGAAUUGUAUUCAACUACUUCAGAAAGCAAUCAAUCCAUAAACACAAUACACUGUGUUAAAGAAAAUCAAUUCAUUAUUUUAUGGAAACAAUUGGUUAAAAAUAUCAGUCCAGAUUAUUAUGCAUCAGUGUAAUAGUGCAGAAAAGAAAAGAAUCAGGAACACAAAUAUUUGUAUACUGGUUCACUCUUUCACAAAAGCUACAUCUAGUUACCACUUCAUAGCAAAGUGGUUAUCACUAAAAACAUUGAAAGACAACUCUUGAAUCCUACAAGAACCUAUAAUGUAACACCCUGUUACCGAAAAAUAAACCCCAAUAAACCCUAAUAAACACAUAAAACAAACAAGAGUAAUGAAAUGAAUUAACCUGGUACAAAGAAUCAAGGAACUCUAUAGGAUCCUUCUCCACACGAAAACAAUGAAGUAUCCUUCACAUCACAAGAUGAUGAUCUCAAUCCUCCAAGAAUAUCAGAGAAACCAACAAUCCUUCAAAAUCUUAUGAAAAACAUAUUGCAAAAACUUUUUCUCAAAAAAGAAGUUUGAAAAAUCAUACACAUUUUUUUUUCUUUAAAAAGUUUUGAAUUCAAUUUAUACAAUAUGAAAGAGCAUAUCAAUAAAAAUAAGUUAAUAAAAUCAAUUUGUUUAAAAAAUACGAAUUAACCUAUUGAUUUCACUUAAACAGAUAUAAUUAGGCUAAUUCUAGUUUUCUCACAUGUUAAAAACUUAAAAUGACGAACUCAUUAUAUUUUACAUAUUAAAACAUGUUUUUAACACAUUAAAUCAUAUUUCAGAAAAUGCUAAAGAGGUUUAAUUGUUUUCAAUCAAUUAAUUAGAAAAAGAAUUUUUUAAAAAAACUCUUUAGAAAUAAAUUCAAAAACAAGUUUAAAACAUUCAUUUUUGGAUUCAUCAUCUUGUCAAGCAAAAGAUAGAUCACACAGACUCAAGACAAGAAAAUACAUAUUUUUAUUGGAAAUUCAAGUUUUGUGGAUUUGGUAAUAUGCUUAAUGCUUAAUUACGAGGAACGACCAUUGAUGUCAUUGAAUCAUGAAUCAGGUCAGAAGGCAAGUUCAUGUAUUUAAACCCUAACAAACUAGGCAUAUAUCUCAAUAGCCACAAAGCCUGAAAAUGAGAAUAUGGUGAAUUGUUUUAUCUUAAUUCAAAAAUAAGCUAUGACAAUGCACGAAAUUGAUUGGGGUAGUUUACGAUUCUAGAUAACCCUAUGCAAGAAAUUGACUUUGUUUGACUCUAUGUAACAGAGAACUUGAACAAACAUGGUGUUUAUAAAUAACAAUAAUACGAUAAAUUCACUAAGUUCUUUCAAUCCCAACAUUUGUGUUAUACUAAUUAUUCUUUACUUCAUUAUUUUGUCAAAGCUUCAUCUCUCGCUAAAUAGGAUUAGUAUAGUUAGUUAUUUAUAAAAUAUAUGCAACUAAUCUCUAUCUUUGCAUCACUUUACUAUGAUAAACAUUAAUGUUUUGUUGAUAUAACACCCCUCAGUUAUACUACAAUUAACUAGGUCUACUUGUUGAAAUAAAAAAAUUAAAUUCAUUCCAUCACAAAAAGUUAAAUUUUUAAAUAAUUUUCUUUAUAAUGAGGAAGAGAAUGUGUCUUCCAUCCUAAUGUAUAAUUAAUUUUUUUAAUGUUAUUAAAAAUCUCAUUUAUGAAAUAUGAUGUAUUUAUUAUGUUUAAUAAAUGUAAUUAUGAUCAAUGAUUACAUAACUACUACUAUGAAGCAGUAUAUUAAAAUAUAAUAAAUAAAAUAUAAUAUAUUUAUUAAAUUUAAUAAAUAUAUAAUUAUGAUUAGUAAAUACAUAACGAUCUAACUUUAUAUACAAAGUAAUACAACUAAAUAAAAAUCAAUUACUACUUCAUUAGUACAUCCAUCACAAAUUAUAAGAAAAACAAUAAAAAAAAUCAUUAAAUAGAAAUUAUUGGUAUAUAAAGUAACUUUUAUUAUUAAUAAAAAAUUUAUAAAGUAGUAUUUAAAUUGAUAUCUAACUAUUAGUUAUCAAAGUUUUAACUAUUAACGAAUUUAUAUUAUAAAUUAGUCUCUAUUAAUUUUUUAAAAAUUAAUAUAGAAUCUAAAAUACAAAUAACUAAAAUUUUGGUAACUAAUUUAUAUAAAAAUUUAGAAACCAUUUUAUAAUUAUUCAUUAAUAAUAGAAAUUAUUUUAAAUAUUAAUAAGUUUUUAGUUUAUAAAAUUGUAUCAAAUUUAAUCAAAAUAAUGAUUAAUUAUUUUCUUAUCUAAAUUUAAUUAUUAUUUAAUAAUUUUUCUUGUGAAAUUUUGAGCAAAAUAACACAAUUGCACUAUUUAUUUCCUCUCUCAUAUUGUGUCAAAUAUUUACACAAAUAACAUAUUAUAUCAUGUAAUUAGCCAAAUAUCACGGUUUAUUGCAACAAUUCAAAAUUUGAUUUCACUUUUCACUAUUUUUUAUGUGAAAUUGUCAAAUCAAAUUUUCAAAAUAAUAAUAAUUCAACAUUCAUAAGUAUUAAUUUUGUUAACAAAUUUUUCUUAUUUAGGUAUUUUUCUAAGUAAUAUUUUUUUUAAAUAUAUAUUUUUAAAUACUAAUUUUUGGAAAUAAUUAUUUUCUAAAUUAUUAUACUUUAUACAAUUUUUCUAAAAAAAAAUUAUAAAAAAAAAUCGUAUAAUUUUUUUAAAAUAAUUUUUAAAAAAAAGUCAAAAUCAUCAAUUAUCAUCUGCCCUUCAUUAAAUAAAAUAAAAUAAAAUCAAGUUUAGACUAGAACCCAAUACUAGUGCGGUAUCUUUUGUAAAAAAUAUUGAAUUCGAUUAAACUCAUUUUUAUAUAAAAAAAAUUAUUUAAAAUCGUUUUUUUUUAAAUCGUAAUAAAUAUCAAUAAUAAGAUAAAUUGAUAAAGUUAUUUCAAUCUUAAGAAUUAUGUUAUUCUCAUUAUCCUUUCCUAUAAAUGCAUUAGUAUAAUUAAUUAUUUAUAAAAUAUAUACAACUAAUAUUUAUCUUUACAUACUUUAUUUAAAAAUUAUUAUCACUUCAUCUUAAAAAUUAUUUUUAUAAUAAUCAACAUUAAUAUUUUGUAGAUACAACAACUGUCAGUAGUACAAUACAAUUGUUUUGGUACUUACUGAAAGUGUCUUCCAUCAUAAUAUAUAAUUAAUUUUUAUAAUAUUAUUAAAUAUCUUAUUUAUGAAAUAUGAUGUAUUUAUUAUGUUUAAUAAAUGUAAUUAUGAUUAAUAAAUGCAUAACUACUACUAUGAAGUUAUAUAUUAAAAUAAAAUGUAUAAAGAAUUAAAAUAUAAUAAAUGAAAGAUAAUAUAUUUAUUAAAUUAUAUAUAUAUAUAUAUAUGAUUAAUAAAUAAUACAUAAUGUCUGAUCACUACAAGAAAAUGAUGAAAUAGUAACCAAUUUUUAGAGACUAAAAUAAUUAUUUGAAAUAGUAACUAAAUUAGAGACCAUUUUAGAAAUUAAAAAGAAAAUUGGUUUCUAAAUUAAUUUAUAUUAUUGUUAAAUAGUUUCUAAAUUUGUAUUUAAUUAGCAACCAAGGUUUUAACUACCAAUUAUUUAGUUUAUAAAAGAUGAAGCUUACUAAUGUCUGUCUUGAAUGUGAUUUUACCUUGAUUUGUGUUGCGUUUACUGCUAGAACUAAUGUUUUGUGAUGCUUUGUGAUCGAUGGAAUAUUUGUUUGUGCUGAUAAGUUAGCUAAUUUAGAAUUUAUUCAUAGAGAAUCAUUUCAUUGGUAUAAUAAACUUCCAUCUAGUAUGUUCUUAGAAUUCUUUAUGAAUAUGUAUAAUCUACUUAUAUAUAGUUUUUAUUAACAUAUGAGUUUUGGUCUAGUCCCCCCAUAUUUUUGUAUUUUUUUUAAUAACACUUUUUUCAUGUGAUGUCGUAUAAUUAUUGUUACUUGAGGUAUCAACUUGGGUGAGAUGUCAAGUUGCAUAGUGAUGUCUGACAUGAAAACUUUUAUAAAAAAGAAAUACUUUUGAAAUUUGAUUUGAAAAUUUAACAAAAAAAAGAAGGAAAGAAAGGUUUUUAAAAUAGUAAAAAUAUAGAACUAAAUUCUAAAGUGUCCAUUUAGUUAAUUGUUUAACACAUAAGCAAAUAUGUAACACAAAAAUAGAAAAGAAAUAAAUAGUUUAAAUGUAUUAUUUUGGUAAAAAAUUCUAUAUAGGGAGCUCAAAGAGAUUUUUGAGUCUAUUUAAACAAAUACUUUCAUGUCUACUAAACAUAUAUACAUUACAUAGAGAAACAUUAAGAGUAAAGUUGAUUGUUAGAAAUGACUAAGUUUUUCUUUUCACAAGUAGUUGUCUUUCUUCUUAUCAUUUCAGGUUUGAUAAUUUUCCAAUUUCAAGUUAAAUUUUUCAUUGAUCAAUAAUUUGUUGUAAUUGUAUUUUGUAUUAUUUUUCAGUUAUUUCAGGAAUAAGCGUAGCAGAUGCCCAAAGAUGUCAAAAAGUGUUAGACCCCAAAAGCUGCAACCUCCAACAAUGUCGAUCAGAUUGCUUCAAAAUGUUUCAAAAUUUUCGACCGUUUGGACAAUGCAUUCGCAACAAUAGUAAUAAUACUUUUGGAUGUGUGUGCAUCUUUGAUUGUCAUGCAAAACCGAAUUUGGUGUAAACUUAGUCACUCGUGACAUGUACCAAGUUCAAGAGGGUGAAAGAGAUAUAAGGUUAUUAAAAGUUAACCAAUAAACAUGAAUUUUGUGACUGAAAAUUUCACAUUUGUCCCUUCUUUGUUAAAUGUAUUUGUCUUUUCGUUUUUUCUUUUGAAAAAAAUAUAAAUUAAUUUGAUUAUUCUUUUUCUAAAAAUAAAAAAAGAUUAAUCAUUUUUAAGGUCUUUGCAUAAAAUAAAUGUUCUUUUGUUCAAAAAUUACAAUUUUAAAUAAUUUUUUUUAUAAGAAUGGAUAUAACUUUAGAGUGAUUCAACUUUUAUUUUAAAAUCAUAUCUAUCACUAAAAUCGUGUCAUUCAAAUACAAAUUAUCCAUUUUCAUUUAAAAACACAUUUUCACGAAAAAUUGUAAUUUCUAAAAGAGGCACACUACUAUACUGCUAAAAGAAAACUCUUCUAGUGCAAUAGUCCCCUUCUACUAGUUGUUAAUUUUCUAUUUUCACAUUAGAAAUGAGAUUUUUUACUACUUGGUGAGAUUUAAUAUUUUUAUUAAAUAGUCACUUGAAUGAAUAUAAAAAUCAAAUACGAUUCGAUUUAAAUGUAAUCUAAAAUUAAAAAACAUUGAACCAAAUUUUUAAUGUUUGAUUUGGAUAAACUUUUUGUCAAUAUAAAAUUGUAAUUUUUUUUUAAAAAAGUCGUUAAAUACUUUAUGAUGACCAUUUGUAAUAUAGCAUAUUUUUAAUCAUUUAAGUUUACACUUUUAACAUUUUUAUACUUAUAAAUAAAUUAUAUAAUCAUAUAAAUUGCAACGCAAAUGUUCUAUUAUAUUGUAAAUGAAAUACAAUCAAAUUUAGACGUAUUCAUAUUCAUAUAAUUUAUAUAUAUGAAUAUUGUUUUGUUUCUUGUUAAUUAAUUCUAAAUAUAUAAUAUAAUUUUUAAAUACAAUAAUAUAUAUAUAUAUGUUUUAUUUUGUUGUUAAUUAAUUCUAAAUAUUAUAUUUAAAUAUGUAACAAUUUUUUUUUUCCAGUUUUGGUUUUGUAUUGAACAAACAUGAGAAAAAAUCCACACUAUUAUCCCAAACAAGCAUUUAAUGCGUUUCUUAAAUAUGUAUUUGCUACAUGCCUAAAACAAUUACAUAAUACUCAAAAUAAAAUAAAAUAAAAUAAAAUAAAUGUCUUUGUAUUAAGCUUAUUAAUUUACUCUUUUCAAUUAAAUAUUUUAUUACUAUUAUAUUUUUAAUAAACUAAUAUAUUGUUUAAUUUCUUCAAAACUUAAUGAAUAGAAAAAUAUCAAUUAAACUUUUUUUAAUACUACUAAAAAAAUUAUUAAAUAAAAAUGAAGUUUAAAAAAAAAGUAAUUAGUUACAUUAUUCAAUAAGCUAGAUACUAUUUUAUAUAUAAAAACUUUAUUUGUAUGUAAAGUAGUUUUUUUAUUAAUAAAAUUUAUAAACCAAAUUUUAACUAACAAAUAGAAACUAAUAUAGAAACCAACUUUUUUUUAGUUUAUAAAAUGGUAUCUAAUUUAGUCACUAUAGCAACUAAUUAUUUUUUUUGUUUCUAAAGUUAGUGUCUAUUUCAUAAUUUUCUUGUAGUGUGCCAAAUUUAAAAUCUAAAUUAAUUGAUAGCUAAAAUCUUGGUAGCUAAUUAAAUAUCAAUUUAAUAAGUACUUUAUGAAUUUUAUUAAUAAUAGAAACUAUCUUAGAUACUAAUAAUUGUUUUUAGUAUUUAAAAUAAUAUUUAAUUUAGUCAAUAUAGUAAUUAAUUAAUUUUUGUUUCUAAAAUUGGUUUUUAUUUAAUGAUUUUUUUUAAUGUAAUUUUAUUUUAGUUUAAUCAUAUUUUUUUAACCUAUGUUUUAACCAUUUUCAAAAUUUAUGGUAUUGGAUUUAAAUGUUUUAAAUAUAUUUAUAUUUAAAUUUACAUUUUGGGGAAAAAAAUUGUUAAUAAUAAAAAAAAAUACUUUCAUGUGAUGGUAGAUGAUUGUUGUUACUUGAGGUGUCAGCCUAGACUAACAUAAAAGCUUUUUAUAAAAAAAAUGAAAAAAAUAUUUUGAUAUCAAUGAACACUACAAUAAUAUUGAAAUUUAGUGAUAAAUCAAUAAGGAUGGAAAAACACUACCCUCUCCAAACAGUGAAAGAAGAUGAUGAUUAUUAAAACUUCUUGAGCUUCAAAAGAAGCUCAAAUUUUCCUGUCAAGAAAAGUUCCUUCUAGAAAUUACUUCAUUUAAGACUUCAUGAACAAGAAGAUAAACAUUUAACUAAAUCAAUUCUCAUUAAUUAAAAAGGUGAGUUACAAGGGUAAGCGGUCUUAUAUAUAGAUGCAUAAGUCCCUUGCGGUUCAUGAUACGUGGAAUGUGAGACUUAAAUUUAAGUCAAAAUGUAGUUGUAAAUGUGUACAAUUUCAUAGUCCUACCUAGCCAAACAACGAUCUUUGCAUUUUCCACUAAAAUUAGCCUAUUCUAGGUGAUGUUGUAAUCUACAAAGUAAUUUAGUUUUAAAGGAAACUUACUGAGAAAGUUAAAACAAAACUACAUCACCAUUCGUUGAAAUAAAACAUUUGAUCUUGGAUUCAUCAUAUUAUCAAGACAAAGAUAAAUCGCACAGACUCAAUACAAGAAAAGACUACCUAAACAUAUUAAGGCACACUAAAUCUUCAUCAAGAUUUCAUCAAACACUUUGGAUCCUUGAGAUGUCGAACAACUAUGAGUUGGUAAACUUUUCUUGUUGUUGAAAAACAAUGUAAGUUAUUGUUGUUUAUGAAAGCAUGUUUUUAUUGGAGAUUCAAGUUUUGUGGAUUUGGUAGUAUGCUUAAUGGUGAAGAAUGAUCAUUGAUGCCCUUGCAUCAUAAAUCAAUUUAGAAGGCAAGUUCAUGUAUCUGAACUCUAAAAAACCAACCAUAUAUCUCAAUAGCCACAGAGUGUGAAAAUGAGAAUAUGGUGAACUGUUUCAUCUUAAUGCAAAAAUAAGCUAUGACAAAUCAAUAAAUUAAUUGGGAUAGUUUAAGAUUCCAAAUACACCUGUGUAAGGAAUCAACUUGGUUUGACUAUAAGAAACAGAGAACUUGAACAAAUAUGGUGUUUAUAAAUAACAAUAAUAAGAUAAAUUCACUAAGUUCUUUAUAUCUCAACACUUGUGUUAUACUAAUUAUCCUUUACUUCAUUCUUUUGUCAAAGUUUCAUCUCUCACUAAAUAUUAUAGUAGGAUUAGUAUAGUUAGUUAUUUAUAAAAUAUAUGCAACUAAUCUCUAUCUUUGCACCACUUCAUCUUGAAAGUUAUCUUUACUAUGAUAAACAUUAAUGCUUUGUGGAUAUAACACUCCUCAGUUCUACUACAAUUAACUCGGUCUACUUGUUGAAAUAAGAAUUUUAAAUCCAUCCCACCAGCAGAAAGUUACAAGUUUUACAAAUUUUCUUUAUAAUGAGAAAGAGGAGGUGUUUUCCAUUAUAAUAUAAUUAAUUUUUAUAAAGUUAUUAAACAUCUCAUUUAUGAAAUAUGAUGUAUUUAUUAUGUUUAAUAAAUGUAAUUAUAUCAAUUAUUACAUAACUACUACUAUGGAGUUAUAUAUUAAAAUAUAUAAAGAACUUAAUAAAUGAAAUAUAAUAAUAAAUAUAUUAUUAUGAUUGAUAAAUACAUAACGUUUGAAGUAACUUUAUACAUAAAGUGUACAACUAAAUUAAAAUUAAUUACUACUUCAUCAAUACAUUUCAUCACAUAUUAUUAUAAGGAAAACACAAAAAAAAAAUCAUUAAAGAAAAAUUAUUGGUAUAUAAAGUAAUUUUUAUUAUUAAUAAAGAAAUUUAUAAAAUAGUUUUUAAAGUGAUAUCUAACUAUUAUUUACCAGGGUUUUAGCUAUUACCUACUUUAUAUUCAAAUUUAGUCUCCAUUAGUCUUAUAAAAAUUAAUUUAAAAUCUAAAAUAUUAGUAGCUAAAAUCUUGGUAGCUAAUUCAGAUACUAACUUAGAAACUAUUUUUUAAUUUUUCUUUAAUAAUAGAAAUCACUUUAAAUACCAAUAAUGUUUUAAUUUAUAAAAUUAUAUCAAAUUUAGUCAAAAUAGUGACUAAUUAUUUUUUAUCUAUAAAUUUGAUUGUUAUUUAAUGAUUUUUUUAAGUGAAAUUUUGAGAAAAAAUACCAUUGCACUGUUUAUUUCCUCUCUCAUAUCAUAUUGUGUCAAAUAUUUACACAAAUAACAUAUUAUAUCAAAUAAUUAGCCAAAUAGCACGGUUUAUUGCAAUAAUUCAAAAUUUGAUUUCAGUUUUCACUAUUUAAAAAAAAAAAUUAUGUGAAAUUGUCAAACCAAAAUUUCCAAAAAAAAUUAAUUCAACAUUCAUAAAUGUCAUCUUGUUAAAAAGAAAUCUUAUUUACAUAUUUUUCUAAAUAACUAUUGUUUAAAAUAUAUAUUUUCAAAUACUUAUUUAUUGAAAUAAUUAUUUUCUAAAUCAUUAUAUUUUAUAUAAUUUUUCUAAAUAAGAUUUAAGAAUGAAAUCGUAUAAUUUUUUUAAAAUAAUUUUUUUUUUAAAAACUCAAAACUUAUCAAUUAUAAUCUGCCCUUCAUUAAAUAAAAUCAAGUUUAGACUAGAACCCAAUACUAGUGCGGUAUUUUUUGUAAAAAAAUUAUAGUUCAGAAUUCGAUUACAUUUUGAACUUGAUUUUAUUUUUUUAUUUUUUUUAAUUUAAAAAUGAAGGAAACAUAAUUUAUGAAUUUUAGUUUUUAUAAAAUAAUUAUUUUUAAAAAACUAGUUUGAAAAAUAAUUUCUUAAAAAAUAUUUAUAAAAUUAGUUAUAUAAAAUAUAAUAAUUUAGAAACUAAUUAUUUGAAAGAAAUAAUUAUUCACUAAAAUAUAUGUUUUAAACAAUAAUUAUUUAGAAAAAAAAUGUAAAUAAGAAAAAUUUGUGCACAAGGUUAACAGUUAUAAAUUUUUAAAUUAUUAACUUUUGAAAUUUUGGUUUGAAAAUUUAAGAGCAAAAAGGAAAGAAAAGUUUUAAAAAUAGUAAAAAUAUAGAAAUAAUUCUAAAGUGUCUGUUUAGUUAAUUGUUUGAAACAUAUGUGCUAUUUAAGCAAAUAUGUAACACAAAAAUAGAAAAUAAAUAAAUAGUUUAAAUGAAUUAUUUUGGUCAAACAUUCUAUAUAGGGAGCUCAAAUAGAUUUUUGAGUCUAUUUAAACGAAUAUUUUCAUGUCUACUAAACAUAUAUACACUACAUAGAAAAACAUUAAGAGCAAAGUUGAUUGUUAAAAAUGACUAAAUUUUUCUUUUCACAAGUAGUUGUCUUUUUCCUUAUCAUUUCAGGUUUGAUAAUUUUUCAAUUUUAAGUUGAUUUUUUCAUUGAUCAAUAAUUUGUUGUAAUUGUAUUUUGCAUUAUUUUUCAGUUAUUUCAAGAAUAAGCGUAACAGAUGCCCAAAGAUGUCAGAAAGUGUUAGAUCCCACAGGCUGCACCCUCCAACAAUGUCAAUCAGAUUGCUUCAAAAUGUUUCAAAAUUUUCGUGGGGUUGGAAAAUGCAUUCGCAACAAUAAUAAUAAUACUUAUGAAUGUAUGUGCAUCUAUGAUUGUCAUGCAAAACCGAAAUUUGUGUAAACUUAGCCACUCAUAACAUGUACCCAAUUUAAGGUUAUUAAAAGUUAACCAAUAAACAAUAAUUUUGUGACUGAAAAUUUCACCUUUACCCAUUCUUUGUUAAUUGUAUUUGUCUUUUCAUUUUUCUUUUUUGAAAAACAUAUACUUCAUUAAUUUGAUUGUUCUUUUUUUAGAAAUAAAAAGAUUAUCUCAUUUUUUUAAUGUCUUUGUAUCAAAGUAACUCUUCCUUUGUUCAGAAAUUACGAUUUUGGAUAAAAAAAAAUCAUGAAAAUGUGUAAGCUGUAUGUGUACAACUUUAGAGUGAUACAACUCUCAUUUUGAAAUCGUAUCCAUAAAUACAACUUCCCCUUUGAAAUCAUAUUUAAUUUAUUAUGUUAAAGAAACUUAUCAUAUAAUAAUUAUAAUUCUUUAAUGAAAUUUAACUUCAUAUUGUAUUCAUAUAUCAGACUCUAUUAGAAUGAUUUGUUGUAUAGAAUUAUAAAAUCGAUAAUUUAUGGUUAUUGUAUAUUUUUAUUUUUUAUCUUUAUCAUAUUAGAAUUUAUUAAAAUGAAUUACAAAUUCAUGUGUUAGCACAAUUAAAAGUGUCUAAUUUUAUAAUAAUUCUUUUAAAAAUCACAUUGAAAUAUAAAACUAUUAAUAAAAAAAAUAUGAAUCAAAUAUAAAAAUUGAUUAUUCAAAAUUUGAAGUAAAUAUAAAAUUUGAUCAAAUUAAAUAAUAUUAAUAUAUUUUUCUUAUACAUGAAUUUUCAACAAUAACACUAAUUGGAUGAUCAUGUCCACAUAUUUAAAAAAGGAGUUGAAAUAAUACACAUAAAUUAUUUAUACUUUGGAGACCGUGUAUAUUUGAUUUUUUACUUUCAAUCAUUAUUAUAUGUAUUUAUAUUUAUUUAAAAAAUUAUAAAUUUAUAUUAUAAAAUUUUAAUUUUGUUAGUAUCAAAUUUUUAUUUAAUGUAUAAUAUUUUUUAAAAAAAAUAAUUAUAUCAAAGAAAAUUUCUUAUCAAUUGAUAAUACAACUUUUCUUACACAUUAAAUUCUAACAAGCGGAUAGAGUAAUUGAAUAAAUUAACUUCCUAAGGUAUAAAAAAAAGCAGUUAUAUAUGUAAGAUAUAGUGAUCAAAUAACUCAAUAAAUUGGAUGAUAUAAAAUAGAUAAUUUACUGAUUUUUUUGUCAUGAAAAGUAAAAAAAAAAAAGAGAAGGAAGAAGAAGCACCCGCUCUUGAAAAAACUGGCUUCAUAACCAAAAUGGUUAUGAAUUAAGAAUACACACAAAAGUAUAAAAUGUAAGAUUAAUCUCAUGGUCAGGUCCAGGCUCAGGCCAUGAUAAAUGAAUAUGGGCUAAUUCUACUUGCACCAGAUCAAUUGUGAUGUGCACCCAUCAUUUUUUUAAAACCCCAAAUUGCCUUUGUUAUCAUUUUCGGAUUUUCUUAUCCGGAAUGAGAAAAAAAACUUAUGGAUCUUAGCGUUCGGAAGACAUUCCUGUGUUACGGAUGAUCAUAUCUGGAAGACACAUCUCAAUUAUGGAUUUGCAUAUCUAGAACUGCGCAGAUAUGGAUAUCCAGAAGAUUAAGGAUAAAAUACAUAUUUUUUUUAUAUAGGUAUUGAUCUGUAGGGAGAAUUAGCAAUGAACAUGCACAUUUUAGGCCCAUUCAUUUCUGGGCAAUUUCUUCCUACACCAUAUCAAUUCUAACCUCCACCCUAUCAUUUUUCUAAAUUUCUAUAAUUACCCUUAUUCUGUAUUUAAAAUUCCAAAAUAAUAAAUAUAAUUCAAAAAUAAAAAAAUUAAAAAAAUCUAGAACACAAAAUUGAAAAAGCAUUCUGGAUAAAAAUUCCCAGAAUUCAAAAAAUUAUUCUGGAUAUCUAAAUCUUGAAUAUUUUUGGAUAAAAGAUUAUGGAAGUAAUUUUUAUUUACACCCUUUUUUAUUAUGAUUAUUUUCGUUAUUUUGGAAGGGUAUUUUUGUCAUUUUGAAUAAUAGGUUGGGUGCAUGUUGGAAUUUAUAUGGUGCAGGGAGCAUUUGCCUCAUUUCUGUGGUUUGGUUAUAUCUCGUUUGUCCAAAUUCACCAGCAGGGUACA
rnacentral:lncRNA from 1 species